GUGAGGGGCCUGUGGUCCCAGAAGGGGGCCCUAGUUUAUAGCAACAGUGCUUCCACCAAGAGCUGCUGGCACAGUCCCUGUGGAAAAGGCCUGGUCCCAUUGCUCCUCCCAGGGCGGAGAGCGGCCAUCAGUCCUUUGGUGGGAAGAAGUCAAGGAAAAACAAGCAACAGGAAUGUGAGGAGACAGACUGGUGAUACCCACAGGCAGGAAUGGGUCCCAGUCCCCACCCCCAGG